rnacentral:rRNA from 1 species
UGGGGAAUAUUGCACAAUGGGCGAAAGCCUGAUGCAGCGACGCCGCGUGAGGGAUGACGGCCUUCGGGUUGUAAACCUCUUUCGACAGGGACGAAGCGUAAGUGACGGUACCUGUAGAAGAAGCACCGGCCAACUACGUGCCAGCAGCCGCGGUAAUACGUAGGGUGCGAGCGUUGUCCGGAAUUACUGGGCGUAAAGAGCUUGUAGGCGGUUUGUCGCGUCGUCUGUGAAAACUCACAGCUCAACUGUGAGCUUGCAGGCGAUACGGGCAGACUUGAGUACUGCAGGGGAGACUGGAAUUCCUGGUGUAGCGGUGAAAUGCGCAGAUAUCAGGAGGGACACCGGUGGCGAAGGCGGGUCUCUGGGCAGUAACUGACGCUGAGAAGCGAAAGCGUGGGUAGCGAACAGGAUUAGAUACCCUGGUAGUCCACGCCGUAAACGGUGGGUACUAGGUGUGGGUUUCCUUCCACGGGAUCCGUGCCGUAGCUAACGCAUUAAGUACCCCGCCUGGGGAGUACGGCCGCAAGGCUA